GAGACUCCAUAUGAGAAGUUAUCCCCCUUUUAUAUAUGAUAUAGGUGAUAUGCAUUUCUAACUGGUAAACCAUAAGUGAUAGAGACCUAGGGGCUUUUGAUUUAAGAUCCUUGGUCCAAAAAAUGAAAAUUAGGUCAAGGUCAAAGGUCAAGGUCAAAUUCUAAAUUUUGAUUUUGGCUUAUUUUCACUUAUUUUCAUUAACCUUAUAAGAUAUCAACAAAUUAUUUUUACUAAAUUGUUAGUUGCGACAUGUCGUAACUUAUAAAUUUUGUUUGCAAGGGUGCGUAGACAAUAAAUGGGAGUUUUCGCCCCUCUUAUAUUUAGAAUUAUGCGUAAAGUGAUAUUACUCAUGAACCAUACAUAUUAAGGAACUAGUGUCUUUUGAUUCGAGAUGUUUAGUCUAUGACCUUGAAAUUGAGGUCAAGGUCAAAGGUUAAUUGGACGUUCUAGAUUUUGACCUUUGCUUUAAAUUCAUAUUUAUACAUCAUAAAGCCAUAGGAACUGACAUUUUUAACUGAAUUUUAAUAUUUUCAUAUCAAAAUAGAUCUUUAUUAGUUGAAAGACCUUCAAUUGUUCUUUGAACAAUUGGUUUUUAAUUAUUAUUAUUAGGUCUUUCCACUUUUCCGUGGAAAGACCUAUUGGUUUUCUUCUGAUUAUUAUUAUUUUUUUUCUUCCACCUAAUUUUCUUCCUUCGCAGUUUUUUUGUUUCGCAAGAUGUCGCUUAGAUAUAUGGUAUAUGAUAUCGAACAAUUAAUACGCUUUUGAAACUGACAGCUCGUAACCAAAAUCUUAUCCAUGUAAGAGUUAUCUCCCCGAACACUGUUUUUCUUGUUAUCGCUUAAUCUUCGCAACCGUAUAAGAAACCGACAAAUUUAUUUUACCAAAUUGCUCGUUAUAUCCUCAGGAUGAUUUGAUUCAUUUUGACCGAAGCUAUCCGGAGACUCCAUAUGAGAGUUAUUUCCCCUUUUAUAUUUGAUUAUAAGUGAUAUGCAUUUUUAACUGGAAAACCAUAAGUGGUAGAGGCCUAGGGUCUUUUGAUUUGAGGUCCUUGGUCCAAAAAAAUGAAAAUGAGGUCAAGGUCAAAGGUCAAGGUCAUGAUUAAAUUUUGAUUUUGGCUUGUUAUCUCUUAUUUUCAGUAAUCAUACAAGAUAUCGACAAAAUAUUUUCACACAAUUGUUAGUUACGACAUGUCGUAACACAUAAAUUUUAGUCGAAAGGAUAUGUAGACAUUUGACGCGAGUUUUCCCCCUUUUUAUAUCUAAUAUCAUACGUAUGGUAAUACAACUCAUUAAAAAUAUAAAGUAGAGGACUAGAGUCUUUUGAUUUGAGGUCCUUGGUUUAUAACCUUGAAAAUUGAGCUCAAGGUCAUAUGCUUAAUUAAACGUUCUAGAUUUUGACCUUUGCUUUACCUCAUAUGUACACAUGAUAAAGCCAUGGGACUUUUUGCAUUAAGUUGUAAGCAAUGUGACCUUAAAAAACACAACCGGAAGUGACCUUUUUAAAACCGGAAGUAGCUAUUUUUUGUACUAAAUCAAUGUAAAAGUAUAUAGAACCAUAUAUUUUUGGAAUCAGUGUCAAGUAAACUAUCAACAAAUACCGGAAGUAAACUUUUUAAACCGGAAGUAAAAGAUGUCUCCCUUUUCGAUAUAUUUUUUUAUAGAAACCAUAUAUUUUUUGAAUAAGCGUUCAAUAAGCUGUCAUUUGGCGCUAAAAUUGACAUUUAAAACCAAAUUUUAAUAUUUUUAUAUAAAAAAGGUCUUAAACUGGUGGAAAGACCAUCAAUGGUUCUCUGAACAAUUGGUUUUUAAUUAUAUAUUUUUUUUCUUCCGCCAACUUUUUUUCCUUCGCAUUUUUUUUGUUUCGCAAGAUGUCGCUUAGACAUAUGGUACAUGAUAUCGAACAGUUAUUACACUUUUGUAACUGACACCGCGUAACCAAAAUCUUUUCAAUAUAAGAGUUAUCUCCCCGAACACUGUUUUUCUUGUGAUCGAUUAAUAUUCGCAACCGUAUAAGAAACUGACAAAUUUAUUUUACCAAAUUGUUCGUUAUAUCCUCAGGAUGAUUCUGAUUUAUUUUGACCGAAGCUAUCCGGAGACUCCAUAUGAGAGUUAUUUCCCCUUUUAUAUUUGAUAUAAGUGAUAUGUAUUUUCUAACUGGAAAACCAUAAGUGUUAGAGACCUAGGGUCUUUUUGAUUUUGAGGAUCCUUGGUCCAAAAAAAUGAAAAUGAGGUCAAGGUCAAAGGUCAAGGUCAUGAUUAAAAAUUUUGAUUUUGGCUUGUUUCAACUCUUAUUUUCAGAAAUCAUAUAAGAUAUUGACAAAAUAUUUUCAUAAAAUUGUUAGUUACGACAUGUAGUAACACAUAAAUUUUAGUCGAAAGGGUACGUAGACAUUUGACGCAAGUUUUCCCCCUUUUUAUAUCUAAUAUCGAUAUCAUACAUAUGGUAAUAUAACUCAUGAACAAUAUAAAGUAGAGGACCUAGAGUCUUUUGAUUUGAGGUCCUUGGUUUAUGACCUUGAAAUUGAGCUGAAGGUCAUAUGCUAAUUAAACGUUCUAGAUUUUGACCUUUGCUUUUACCUUAUAUGUACACAUGAUAAAGCCAUAGGACUGUUUGCAUUAAGUUGUAAGCAAUGUGACCUUAAAAAACACAACCGGAAGUGACCUUUUGUAAACCGGAAGUAGCUAUUUUUUGCACUAAAUCAAUGUAAAAGUAUAUAGAACCAUAUAUUUUUGGAAUCUGUGUCAAGUAAACUAUCAAACAAUACCGGAAGUAAACUUUUUAAACCGGAAGUGAAUGAUUAUCUUCCUUUAUUUUUUUUUUUAUAGAAAACCAUAUAUUUUUUGAAUAAGCGUUCAAUAAGCUGUCAUUUGACGCUAAAAUUGACUUUUAAAACCAAAUUUUGAUAUUUUCAUAUAAAAAAAGGUCUUAACUGGUGGAAAGACCAUCAAUGUUUCUCUGAACGAUUGGUUUUUAAUUAUUAUUAUUAUUAUUUUUUUUUUUCUUCCGCCAACUUUUUGUUCCUUCGCAAUUUUUUUGUUUCGCAAGAUGUCACUAAGAUAUAUGGUAUAUGAUAUCGAACAAUUAAUACGCUUUUGAAACUGACACCGCGUAACCAAAAUCUUAUCCAUGUAAGAGUUAUCUUCCCGAACACUGUUUUUCUUGUUAUCGCUUAAUCUUCGCAACCGUAUAAGAAACCGACAAAUUUAUUUUACCAAAUUGCUCGUUAUAUCCUCAGGAUGAUUUGAUUCAUUUUGACCGAAGCUAUCCGGAGACUCCAUAUGAAAGUUAUUUCCCCUUUUAUAUUUGAUAUAAGUGAUAUGCAUUUUUAACUGGAAAACCAUAAGUGGUAGAGGCCUAGGGUCUUUUGAUUUGAGGUCCUUGGUCCAAAAAAAUCAAAAUAAGGUCAAGGUCAAAGGUCAAGGUCAUGAUUAAAAUUUUGAUUUUGGCUUGUUAUCUCUUAUUUUCAGAAAUCAUACAAGAUAUCGACAAAAUAAUUUCACACAAUUGUUGGUUACAACAUGUCGUAACACAUAAAUUUUAGUCGAAAGGGUACGUAGACAUUUGACGCAAGUUUUCCC
rnacentral:lncRNA from 1 species